CACCGCCCGUCACACCAUGGGAGCCAGUUGUACCGUAAGCCGGUGAUCCAACCCGCAAGGGAGGCAGCCGCCCAUGGUAUGGCUGGUGACUGGGGUG
rnacentral:rRNA from 1 species